rnacentral:rRNA from 1 species
CCUACGGGAGGCAGCAGUGGGGAAUUUUGGACAAUGGGCGCAAGCCUGAUCCAGCCAUGCCGCGUGCAGGAUGAAGGCCUUCGGGUUGUAAACUGCUUUUGUACGGAACGAAAAGACUCUGGUUAAUACCUGGGGUUCAUGACGGUACCGUAAGAAUAAGCACCGGCUAACUACGUGCCAGCAGCCGCGGUAAUACGUAGGGUGCGAGCGUUAAUCGGAAUUACUGGGCGUAAAGCGUGCGCAGGCGGUUAUAUAAGACAGAUGUGAAAUCCCCGGGCUCAACCUGGGAACUGCAUUUGUGACUGUAUAGCUAGAGUACGGUAGAGGGGGAUGGAAUUCCGCGUGUAGCAGUGAAAUGCGUAGAUAUGCGGAGGAACACCGAUGGCGAAGGCAAUCCCCUGGACCUGUACUGACGCUCAUGCACGAAAGCGUGGGGAGCAAACAGGAUUAGAUACCCUGGUAGUCCACGCCCUAAACGAUGUCAACUGGUUGUUGGGUCUUCACUGACUCAGUAACGAAGCUAACGCGUGAAGUUGACCGCCUGGGGAGUACGGCCGCAAGGUUGAAACUCAAAUGAAUUGACGG